CCAACCACAGCCUCAGCACUAAUAAAUGUAUUUACAAGUGGUUUUUGCUCACUCCAUUGAAUCAGCGUGCCCAGGGGCGUGUGAAGAGUUUGAGUCAUCUCUGAGUCAGCUCCUCUGAGCACACAGAACCCGAGGCCAGCAGCUGCAGAAAGGGAAUUUUUCUGGAUGAUGGAGAAGGAACCAUCCUGGCACGAAAGGUCUCAGGCUCCAGGCACGACCCUGAGGAGGAGCCAGCAUUCCUCAGCCUCCCCCUCUGCAGGCACCUGUGAUGGAGCAGCAGGACCUGGGAUCCCUCCUUGUGCUGCUGAGCCAGAAAACAUCACAGUGUGAAAAAUAUGUAUUUUAUGACUGGCUUUUUGCAAAUAUUCAAAUGAAUAUUCUAUGUGUUGUGUUAGAAAGUGAUGCCGUAUUAAUUUUCUUAAGUAGUGUGUUAAAUAUAGUUUUAGGUUAUAACAAAAUGUUAAAAUAGAAACUAUGCUAUGUAGGAUACUUUUUUUUUCUAAAGAAUGGACUCACACCAAGAUAGCAGCCACAGAACACAUGAAUCUUUCAGAGAAAGAGAAUUUAUUGCUCCAUUAUCAGAAGAAAUGAACUUUUUACUGCUUCACUCUGGCAGGAUGACGCCGUCAGGAUUCAGAGGAAGAAGCUGACACUGAGCAGACAGAAUCCUGUGUUUGAAUGGAAUUUAUGCAUCAUGGAUGAA